GAUUUUUCUACCAUGCUAAUUUGUAUUUCAUUCCUAAAUUACUAAGUGAUUAUUGAUAUUAUUCCUAUAGGGGUAUUCCUGAUAAUUUUUAAUUUUCCAUAAGAAAAACCAUUUUGCAACCAUUUUAAUGUUGCAACUUCUACAAAGCUAGAAUUUAACCUUUUUUUUUUUUCUUUUUUCAUUGCUAGGGCUUAGACUCAGGGCCUUCUCACAUGCUAGAUGUGCUCUACCUCUGAGCUACAUUUCUGGCUUCUGACCUAAUAAAUUAUUAUUUUUUGAGAUGCUGGAAAUUGAACCCAGGGCAUUAUGCAGGCUAAUCAAGUGCCAUACCCCUCAGCUAUAAACACAGCCCCUAUAUUAUUUUUACCACUUACGAAAGAAGUUGGAUUUGGGCACUUAAAGAAAAAUGAGAUAACUUAUAGUGGAAUCAAAUAACACAAGUGAAUAGUCCUCACCUUUGAUUCUUAAUGUUUUGCUUUCCUCAUAAUCCAGAGUGGUCUUUCUGGAAAGUACUCUAAUACAUUGAAACAUACCUCUAAUGUCCCAACACCUCUCAUAUUGUGCCAAAACAUUCUAAAUGCAUUAUAUUAGAAAAUUUUGGGGAGAAAUAUUUUUAUACUGUUCAGUUAAAUUUUUUCCCAUCUUUAAGAAAUACAUUUCAUUUUCCCUUUUUAUUUCUGCUAUACAGUAGUUUGGAGGUACACAUCAAGAAUUAUAUCAGGGUUUUCUAGCAUUGCUAGUUGAUUUAUUUUCCAUAUCCUAAGUAGAUUGUUAUUAUUAUCUAGACUUAAGAUUUUAAUCACAUUUCCCUGAAACUAGGAAGGGAGCAGGGAAUUUUGGGCAGAGACUAGUUGAAAAUUCAGGCAGAGAUCUUAAUGCUGAUGGGUUGCAUCCUACACACCUGAAUCUUAACUGUAGUUUCUUUUGCAGUCUCUUUCAGCAUCUGCCCUGAGUUAAGCUGCAAACUCUUUCCAUCUGCAUACUUUUCUUAACUCUGAGCUAAUUUGGUUAAUCCCACCCUUCUGCUAUGUAUCUUCUCCCUCGAGUGUUUCGUUUUCAAGUUCCCACUUCCUUAGAACACUGGCAUUUCCUCUCUUCACAGGGUCCCAAGUUAUCCUGAAGAAGCCCAACGCUUUGCUUUUCCUGCUCUUGAGAAGUCCCAAGAUUCUGUGGUGCUGAUUCCAACUGCCACCUUAUGUCUAGAUUUUGAGUUGUUUUCCGAAUACUUGCAGAAGCAAGCCCUUGUUAUUGCUACCGAUUUCUACCGAUACCCUGCUUUGUCCUUCUCGCCACGCUUCUGUUUCUUUUAUCCCCUCACCACCUUGGGCACAAUGCAUAAAGGAUGGAAAAAGCAUGCCAGUCAGAAGUCUUUGAAUGAGGUAUCAAUGGAUGAAUAUUUAGGCACCUUAGGACUGUUUCGAAAGCUGACCGCUAAAGAUGCCUCUUGCCUCUUUCGGGCUAUUUCGGAGCAGGUAAAAGGAAAAAUGUGUUG
rnacentral:lncRNA from 1 species